rnacentral:rRNA from 1 species
GUGAGGAAUUUUCCGCAAUGGGCGAAAGCCUGACGGAGCAAUGCCGCGUGAAGGAUGAAGGCCUAUGGGUUGUAAACUUCUUUUCUCAGAAAAGAAUUAUGACGGUAUCUGAGGAAUAAGCAUCGGCUAACUCUGUGCCAGCAGCCGCGGUAAGACAGAGGAUGCAAGCGUUAUCCGGAAUGAUUGGGCGUAAAGCGUCUGUAGGUUGUUUAAAAAGUAUUCUGUCAAAGAUUAGGGCUUAACCCUAGAUAGGCAGAAUAAACUUUUAAGCUAGAGUUUGGUAGAGGCAGAGGGAAUUCCCGGUGGAGCGGUGAAAUGCGUAGAUAUCGGGAGGAACACCAAAGGCGAAGGCACUCUGCUGGGCCAAUACUAACACUGAGAGACGAAAGCGAGGGGAGCGAAUGGGAUUAGAUACCCCGGUAGUCC